GAAAUGGCUACCACAUCCAAGGAUGGCAGCAGGCGCGCAAAUUACCCACUCCCAGCUUGGGGAGGUAGUGACGAAAAAUAACAAUGCGGGACUCUAAGAGGCCCCGUAAUUGGAAUGAGUACACCUUAAAUCGUUUAACGAGUAUCAAUUGGAGGGCAAGUCUGGUGCCAGCAGCCGCGGUAAUUCCAGCUCCAAUAGCGUAUAUUAAAGUUGCUGCAGUUAAAAAGCUCGUAGUUGGAUCUGGGGCUUGAGGUCGCUGUCUAUCGUUUCGGCGAUGACGGUGAUGCUCAGCUCUGCUUGCCGGUGACUGUUGCGGUGUUCUUCACUGAGCGCUGUAGCAGCACGGCACGUUUACUUUGAAAAAAUUAGAGUGCUCAAAGCGUGCUUGUCGCUUGAAUAAUGUUGCAUGGAAUAAUGGAAUAGGACCUCGGUUCUAUUUUGUUGGUUUUCGGAGCUUGAGGUAAUGAUUAAGAGGGACGAACGGGGGCAUUCGUAUUGCGGUGUUAGAGGUGAAAUUCUUGGAUCGCCGCAAGACGGACUACUGCGAAAGCAUUUGCCAAGAACGCUUUCAUUAAUUAAGAACGAAAGUCAGAGGUUCGAAGACGAUCAGACACCGUCCUAGUUCUGACCAUAAACGAUGCCGACCAGCGAUCCGUAGUGGUUGCUUUAUGGACCCUACGGGCAGCCUCCGGGAAACCAAAGUAUUUGGGUUCCGGGGGAAGUAUGGUUGCAAAGCUGAAACUUAAAGGAAUUGACGGAAGGGCACACCAGGAGUGGAGCCUGCGGCUUAAUUUGACCCAACACGGGAACACACCCGGUCCGGACACCGUAAGGAUUGACAGACUGAUAGCUCUUUCUUGAUUCGGUGGAUGGUGGUGCAUGGCCGUUCUUAGUUGGUGGAGUGAUUUGUCUGGUUAAUUCCGAUAACGAACGAGACUCUAGCCUGCUAAGUAGUGUUGCUAUUGUUAUAUGGUUGACACUUCUUAGAGGGACAAGUGGCAUUUAGCCACGCGAAAUUGAGCAAUAACAGGUCUGUGAUGCCCUUAGAUGUCCGGGGCCGCACGCGCGCUACACUGGAGAAGUCAGCGUGUGUUAUCCAAGUCCGAAAGGACUGGGUAAUCCGUUGAACCUUCUUCGUGCUUGGGACUGUGGCUUGGAACUAUUCCACAUGAACGAGGAAUUCCUAGUAAUUGCAAGUCAUAAGCUUGCGUUGAUUACGUCCCUGCCCUUUGUACACACCGCCCGUCGCUACUACCGAUUGAAUGGUUAGCAAGGUCCUCGGAUCGUGGCCGUAGGGGCACGCAAGUGUUUCUGCGGUUUGCGAGAAGACGACCAAACUUGAUCAUUUAGAGGAAGUAAAAGUCGUAACAAGGUU
rnacentral:rRNA from 1 species